rnacentral:rRNA from 1 species
CGCACGGGUGCGUAACGCGUGGGAAUCUGCCCUUGGGUACGGAAUAACAGCGAGAAAUUGCUGCUAAUACCGUAUAAUGACUUCGGUCCAAAGAUUUAUCGCCCAGGGAUGAGCCCGCGUAGGAUUAGCUUGUUGGUGAGGUAAAAGCUCACCAAGGCGACGAUCCUUAGCUGGUCUGAGAGGAUGAUCAGCCACACUGGGACUGAGACACGGCCCAG